GGGGAGCUGGGCUCCCGGAGCCGGGGUACCAAGAGCCGCAGCCGGAGCAGGAGCAGGAGGGCGGCGGGCGAGGGCGGCAGGAGAGGGCGACGGGCAGCUUCGCGCCGAGAAAGCUCCGAGCAUCUGAGGGCUCUGCUUGCUGGUCUCCUCUGCGGCGGCUGGACUGAGGAGCGGAUGGCUGAGGAGCUAGAGAGGCGGCGGCCACGGCAGCUGCACUCGGCCCGGUCUCGGGCGCCUUCUUCGCCCCCCCGCCUUUGCAGACGGUUUACAAAAAAACUUUGCUUUGCACUCGGAACCCCCGUUUUCACACGGACCCGAGCGUGACAAGGCCUUGCCGCCCCGCCCACCAGGCCCGGCACGCUUCCCCAUUGGUCAGGACCCCCUCACGACAGCCUCGGCGUCCCGCCCAGCCACGCUCACUAUUGGAUGGAGCC
rnacentral:lncRNA from 1 species